CAUUAGAUGACUGAAAUGCAAGUAUUGGUCUCUUAAACCAUAGUAUAGUAGUCUGCACCUACUUCUAAUGG
rnacentral:tRNA from 1 species